rnacentral:rRNA from 1 species
AGUGAACGCUGGCGGUAGGCCUAACACAUGCAAGUCGAACGGCAGCACAGUAAGAGCUUGCUCUUACGGGUGGCGAGUGGCGGACGGGUGAGGAAUACAUCGGAAUCUACUUUUUCGUGGGGGAUAACGUAGGGAAACUUACGCUAAUACCGCAUACGACCUACGGGUGAAAGCAGGGGAUUUUCGGACCUUGUGCGAUUGAAUGAGCCGAUGUCGGAUUAGCUAGUUGGCGGGGUAAAGGCCCACCAUGGCGACGAUCCGUAGCUGGUCUGAGAGGAUGAUCAGCCACACUGGAACUGAGACACGGUCCAGACUCCUACGGGAGGCAGCAGUGGGGAAUAUUGGACAAUGGGCGCAAGCCUGAUCCAGCCAUACCGCGUGGGUGAAGAAGGCGUUCGGGUUGUAAAGCCCUUUUGUUGGGAAAGAAAAGCAGCAGGUUAAUACCCCGCUGUUCUGACGGUACCCAAAGAAUAAGCACCGGCUAACUUCGUG